UGCAGUGACAUCUAGUUUCUUCCCAGGACUAAAGAGCACAACCCUGACUGCAAUAGGAGCUUAAUUGCUAUUAAUCCUGUUAAUUGAAUUUGCUUCUCCUGUGCCACUUUAACACUCUGACUGAAGGAGGGAAAUUGAAAACAAGGAGACAGGGAAACAAGCUCAGCUGACCUAAGGCAUGUGACUCCUCCUGGUAUCAUAAAUAUGUGCCCCCUCCACAUUUAGGGGGAUGCUGGAUGGUCUGGAGGGCCAGCAGUGGGAUUGCUUUGGGAAGUGCAUCAGGAAGAAGUGGAUCCUGGCGUAAUUGGCUUUGAGGGAUUUGCAGGCUGAAUCUUGUUGGUUGAUUUCUUUGGUGCUGCCCAGGGAAGCUGCAAUUCCUUAAAGGAAAACCAAACCAAAACCCAACCAAACCUCAGUAACUGCAUUACACAGCUGAUGGGAACUGCUUUUCUUUGUUGCUGCUCACAAACCAUGGAACUGCUGUCCAGACAUUCCCAGACUCAGUUUUGGAGCAGAAAUCCACUGGAUGAAAUGGUCUUGGCACGACAUUCAGGCUAGACUGAAGACAGACUGAAAAUCUGUGGGUGCCCUGGGCUGACCCAGGCACUGUUAAAUGGUCACCCCUUGCUUCCAGCCUGGCAUCACCUCUGGAUCCUGUUAUUCCCCUGCCAGAUGGAGGAGCCCAUUAGCUGUGAUAGGCCAAUCAAACAGCUCUAAUUGAUCUAGUGAUGUGGUUACUGGUGAUGACAAGGAGAUGAACUUGAUGACCCGGGAGGUCCUUUCCACUUGUGUGCUCCAUGGAGGCUAAUGCCAGAGUGAAUCACGAGUGUUUCUGUCCUGUUCAUCUUUGGAACCAGGCCCCAUGGCAUCUCCAGCUGUGCUGGGCAAGGCUGAGUGUGUCCCCUAAAAUCAGCACUCCAGCCAACAGCACAUGGACCAAACAUGUCCAUGAUGGAUGCAAGACAAAAAUAGCAUUUGGGCCCUGGGUGUUGUUUGCUGUGUCUAAUCCUGAGCCAGUGACAGGAGGACAGACCUGGGCAGGCAAUAACUCAGCCAAGGAUGAGCCUCUGCAGUGAAGGAGGGACAGGCAGCAGCAGGGAUGAAGUGAGUGUGCAACAGGUUUAGAAAAAAAGGGCUCUGCAAACACUGACCUUGCUACAAGCAAGGACUGGAGGAAAGGAAGGGAGAAUUCCUGAGGCAGCAGCUUGGUCUCUGCUCCCCAUCCCCAGGGCUGUCUGUCACUAGAUCAGUGCUGCAAAGGGGAGGGCUCUCUUAAUUUUUUUAAUUUAUUUUGCUCACGCUGUUUGUGGAGUGUGCUCUCAUUUGUACAGAUGUGCUCAUGUGCAACAGCUGGUGUGUAGCAUCGUCAACUCCCUGAAAAGCUACAAAUAAAAGCUUUAUGCAAAUUUCCUCAAUCCUAUUUAGAAGGCUCUGUUUCUGCAGCUGAAAUGUUGCAUUAUGGCUUUAUUUUCAGUUGAGAAACAAAGGCUAAAUGCAAUCUCAUCCCUUGAAGGGACCACAGACUGGCAGGUUGCAAUGGUCCACCAGGAGAGACUAUUUUGUGAUUCUUGUAGCGUUUUGGACAAACACCUGGAGUAUGUUCAGCCAGAACAUUAGAGGCUUUAGGACAAAUUGAACAUCAAUAGGAGCUGGGUACCCCUGCUGCCUAUUUGAAAUUUUAUUGGUUUGACCAGUCUGCCAGGCACUACCUGGUGAUGAAAAGAGCUGGACCAUAAUCUAGACAUUCCUUUAAAAAAUGGAAAUAGCACCAAUUCAGGUCUUUCCUGUCCUUGUUUCAGCCCUAGGAUGCUGUUGCCUGCCAUGUAUCACUCCUGGUAUCCAAUUUCCAAAUCAGUCAGUGCUGGUGGACAUGGUGACUCUCACUGGUCAUCAAUCAUUUGUUAGCUGGUCUCCACCAUUUUCCUGGUGAUUCAGCUGCAAUGGAAAAUGGAAUGUGUAUUGGGUUGGAUACGGGUGCUCAGGCUACUGUGCUGUGGGAAAUUAUUUUUAAAUGCAAGCAAAAAGCCACAGGUAGCUAAAUGUACCUAGGGAAACCUCGGGACUUCCCAGGGUGAGCGCAUUCCUGGUGCAGGAUAAGAGCUCUGUGUCACCAGUGUCAUGUUUGUGUGCAGGGGCAGCUGUCCUGGCUGCAAUCUCUCAUGGUGUCCUUGUGCUGCUGCCAGAAAGGGCCUGGCAAACACUCCCUCGUGAGCACAGGGAUUAUUAGCUCAGUAGUGAGUGUGCCAGCUGAAAACCAGAACAAACCUGCAGGAGCUGGGUGACUGCAGACACGUCCUCUGGGGUGCUGCACUGCAGCACGGGGGAGCAGAUUCCAGCAUCAAGGGCUGUGCCAUUACCUUUGAUAAGGCUGAACUGCUCCUUCAGCAGCCAGAGUUAUGCUAUUGAAUGUGCUGAUGCUGUUUGGAAAAAUGCCUCCCAUCCAUGGAAAAAUGUGUUUAAAGCUUUUCACAUCUUGUGUGAAAAAGGAACAACUGUCCUCUUUCCCA